UGCCUGAUGGAGGGGGAUAACUACUGGAAACGGUAGCUAAUACCGCAUAACGUCGCAAGACCAAAGAGGGGGACCUUCGGGCCUCUUGCCAUCGGAUGUGCCCAGAUGGGAUUAGCUUGUUGGUGGGGUAACGGCUCACCAAGGCGACGAUCCCUAGCUGGUCUGAGAGGAUGACCAGCCACACUGGAACUGAGACACGGUCCAGACUCCUACGGGAGGCAGCAGUGGGGAAUAUUGCACAAUGGGCGCAAGCCUGAUGCAGCCAUGCCGCGUGUAUGAAGAAGGCCUUCGGGUUGUAAAGUACUUUCAGCGGGGAGGAAGGGAGUAAAGUUAAUACCUUUGCUCAUUGACGUUACCCGCAGAAGAAGCACCGGCUAACUCCGUGCCAGCAGCCGCGGUAAUACGGAGGGUGCAAGCGUUAAUCGGAAUUACUGGGCGUAAAGCGCACGCAGGCGGUUUGUUAAGUCAGAUGUGAAAUCCC
rnacentral:rRNA from 1 species